AUGCACUCACACACGCAUGCAACACACACCUGCGUGCACACACAUGCACUCACAUCCGCAUGUGCAACACACCUGUGUAGACACACACAUGCACUCACACACGUGCACGUGACACACACCUGCGUACACACCCAUGCACUCACACCCACGUGUCCAACACACCUGUGCACACACAUGCACUCACACCUGACUUGCACACCUGUGCACACACACGCACUCACACCUGCAUGUGCAACACACACCUGUGUACACACCUGCAAUCACACAUCUGUGCACGCAACACACACCUGCAUACACAUGCACUCGCACGCACAUGUGCCCCACACCUGUGUACACACACAUGCACUCACACACGUGUGCAAGCAACACACACCUGCAUACACACAUGCACACACCUGUGCAUGCAACACACACCUACAUACACACACACGCACUUACACCUGUGUCUGCAACACACCUGUGUACACACACACACUCACAUUUGCAACACACCUGCACUCACACAUGUGCAACACACCUGUAUACACACAUGCAUGCACACCCACGUGUGCCACACAUCUGCACACACAAGCACUCACACACGUGUGCAUGCAACACACACCUGCGUACACACAUGCACUCACAUCCGCGUGUGCAACACACCUACACUCACACGUGUGCAUGCAACACACACCUGCAUACAAACACAUGCACUCAUACCCGCAUGUGCAACACACACCUGCACUCACACGUGUGCACACAACCCACACCUGCAUACACACAUGCACACACGUGUGCUUGCAACACACCUACGUGUACACACACAUGCACUCACACCCACGUGUGCAACACACCUGCGUACACACACAUGCACACACGUGUGCACGCAAAACACCUGCAUACACAUGCACUCACACCCACAUGUGCAACACACCUGCAUACACACAUGCACUCACACGUGUGCAUGCAACGCACACCUGCGCACACACAUGCACUCACCCGUGUGUGCAACACACCUGUGUACACACCUGCACACACGCAUGCAACACACCUGCACACACGCACUCACACCCACGUGUACAACACACCUGCGUACACACAUGCACUCACACACGUGUGCAUGCAACACACGCACUCAAACUCGCAUGUGCAACACACCUGUGUACGCACACACGUGCAACACACCAUGCACAUGCACUCACACACGUGCACACAACACACACCUGCGUACACACACAUGCACUCACGUGUGCACCCAACACACAGGCAGGCUGA
rnacentral:lncRNA from 1 species